CAAUGAGGAUAACAGGUACACCGGCUGUUCAGGGUUGCGUGGCCAUGCGAUGAUGUCCCUGUAAAUCACAGGGCACAAAGCUGGACGCGUGGCAAGGGCUCCAUCGGAUUGGCCACUUACGUUUGCUCUAAGACGUACCUUGUAAGUUUCCAUUGUGAUCGAAGUCACAAGGCUCCACCAGAAACGCAGGGCUGGUACACAGGCAUUCAUAUUUAGAAACCAUUUCCCCCGGGAGAUUCUACAUGCCUGAUCCGAUUCAACUCCCUCAUUUACAGGUACAGUGAUCCCAUCUGUCCCGCUCAGCAUUCUAAGAAAGCAGUGUCCUGCCUCAUGCACACAGGGUGCCUUGAAAGACAAAGCCUGUACCUCCCUGAGCAGCUGUGGAUUAAGAGAUGUGAUGAUGGUGGGGCUAGAGAUACGGCUCAAAGGUGAAAAGACUUGUAUUCGGCUCCCAACAUCCCCUUCAAGGUCCCAAGCAGCUCUGUACAGGGAAGAUGCACAUCUGCCUUCUGUGAGCUCUAUGUGUCCUCUGCGUUCACUGAGCUGAGACCCUGAGGACCAGGGAGGCAAAUGGAGGCCAGACCAAGAUCACAGCAACCCUUUGGUUUCCCAGGACCCACUGUGGGAAGCCUGAGCCAUCUUCGGGCAGAGGCAGAAGAGGUUCCUGUAAUCCUGCCUCUUGACUUUAGUAUUGUCGAUCCUGUGAUUUGCUGAUCCAAGACUUUCCACUCAAGUUUAAUCAGCAAACAUGUGCCAAGUAGAAAGUGCUAGAAAUGAUUGGAAGAAAUCCUCUCCUUUGGGAAUAUUUUAGUCUUCUAGGACUGAGAGACAAAAAUGCCAAUGUAAAUUACA
rnacentral:lncRNA from 1 species